UACGUAGGCAGCGAGCGUUGUUCGGAGUUACUGGGCGUAAAGAGUGCGUAGGCGGUUUCUAAGUUUGGUGUGAAUCUCCCGGCUUAACUGGGAGGGUGCGCCGAAAACUGGAAGGCUUGAGUAUGGGAGAGGUAGCGGAAUCCUGGUGUAGCGGUGAAAUGACGUAGAUAUCAGGAGGAACACCUGCGGUGUAGACGGCUUACGUCGGACCAUAACUGACGCUGAGGCACGAAAGCGUGGGGAGCGAACGGG
rnacentral:rRNA from 1 species